AUGAGAUAAAAGAGAAGAAAGAAGAAAACCCCAGAUGUUGAGAUGCUCAUUAUGCCUGUGCUCAGGGAAGCUGCCAUGACCCGCAGAAGCAUCCAGAGAUACUCAAGGAGGUGACUAUGGCAAGGCAGGACCUGAGGAUGUGGGUGCCGUCCAAAUAUUAUCAACCCUAUCACAGCUCACAAAGAUCUCUGUAUGUAGAAAGCAGCUGGAAGGCAUGAGCAAUGAUUCUGGAGUGACUCAUCUUUCAGAAUCGGCAAGAAAUACCAUUUUUGCUGUUUCUCCUUUAUGUUGGGGAAUUAAAGUAACUUCAAUUUGUAUGACUCUUAGUUCUCAUGUCUGUCUCUUUUUCACAUCACUCUAGUUUUCCGCUAUUAGACAACUGACCUUUGUGAUUAUAUCCAUCCUUGCCAGAAGUUGACUUUGCAAGCUGGUAGCCAGGUCUCUUGAACUAUCUAGAAGAGGAUUUCAUCUCACUUGGCACA